rnacentral:rRNA from 1 species
GGCUCAGGAUGAACGCUAGCUACAGGCUUAACACAUGCAAGUCGAGGGGCAGCACUAGGUAGCAAUACUGAGGUGGCGACCGGCGCACGGGUGCGUAACGCGUAUGCAACCUACCUAUAACAGGGGGAUAACACUGAGAAAUUGGUACUAAUACCCCGUAACAUCAGAGGAGGCAUCUUCUUUGGUUGAAAGUUCCGGCGGUUAUAGAUGGGCAUGCGUUGUAUUAGCUAGUUGGUGGGGUAAUGGCUCACCAAGGCGACGAUACAUAGGGGGACUGAGAGGUUAACCCCCCACAUUGGUACUGAGACACGGACCAAACUCCUACGGGAGGCAGCAGUGAGGAAUAUUGGACAAUGGAUGGAAAUCUGAUCCAGCCAUGCCGCGUGCAGGAUGACGGCCCUAUGGGUCUUAAACUGCUUUUGUACGGGAGCAAUAAGUACUACGUGUAGUAUGAUGAGAGUACCGUACGAAUAAGCAUCGGCUAACUCCGUG